AAUUAUAAUCUUAAUGUUAAUAAAAAAAAUCAAUAGAGUCAUACCUUGAAUAUAUUCAGUCACAAGUCCAAAACUCCAUGUAAUUAACCAAGUUCAAUCAAAUGUAACAUUGUACAGCUCCAUGAAUAACAUUUGAAAAAUAAUAUGUCAAAAAGAAGAUGACAUUUCAUUCGGAGGGUAAUAAUAUUCUUAAGUAACUUACUAUUAUUGGUAUCAUUUUUGAACACUUGGUUAGGAUCUGGUCAGGAUUUGGAUGAGCAACUUGACUUGUAUACCCUGGAAUAAUUUAUCCGAAAUCAUAUCAGGCUAUCAAGGCAACCUUAAUUUUGCACUAACUUGAGAUAUUGAUAUUUACCUCAAACUUGACAUCAGGGUUAGUAGAAAAGUCACCGACUUCACCUGCAAAGUCUAAAAAUAUUGGUAUUUACCUCAAAAGCAGGGCUGGAAAAGUCACAUGCUCAAUCAUCUAAAAAUAAUAAUGAAGUGUUAAAAAAAAUAAGUAUUAAAAACAAAAAAUUAUUUUGUAUAUAUUGGUGCCCUUCAAUGUUUUAAUUUAAACCCAAAACCACAUGCUUGAUUUUUUUCACCAAUAAUAACAUACAUGUGAUUUGUUUAUAUUAAAACUUAUUGUCUUAUUUGCUUUCACCCAAUAUUAUAAAUUCCAAACCCGAAUACAUGUGCAUAUAAAAUAUUCAACAUUCUUCUUCUCUGAGUUUGUGUUUGUAUUUAUUGUCUAGCUUUGACUCACCAUGUGCAGAUAAAGCAUUGUACCUGGAUACAUUCAAGGAUAAAAAGAUGAAAACAACUAAAAACAUAAUAGAUAAUUCGCAUUCUGGAAAGCAUUAUACCUGAGCAACUUUGAUGGACCAUGUCAGAUAAAACAUUGCACAUCUUAACAUCAACUAAAGCUAAUGUUUUAACCAAACCCAUUGAAAUCGUAAUGAAGAUAGAGUGAGAAUAAGAACAUGCCAUGAGUCAUGAACACAAGAGGCUACAACAAUAUUAUGAAAAAACAAUUAAGAAGGUGAAUUUAAGUGAAAGUUUAAGUGAUUUCAUAGUAUCUACCAAACAAAAUACGAAAAUUAGAACCUAGCCGAGUUUAAUCAAGAAAUAAUUUUCUUAAACAUUUCAUCGAGCACAUGGUAGGCUAAAAUCUGUGAAUAUAAGAAUCAAAAUCAAAGGUAGUCUUUAAAAUCAUAAGUUAAAAAAUAUUAAAUAUCAUGCUUAUACAAACAAAGAUUUUUCAAAUUACCUUGGCCUAAUAUAAGAAACAACAGGGAGAAGCAGCGAACCUGAAUAGACAAACAGAGGACGGCGGUAAAGGUGGACUUAUAGAGAGUCGAUCAUACAUUUAAGGGGGAAGAAUACUUGCGUGAAGACGUGAGGGUUUACGUGGGAAGGGAUAGCUAAUGACCCUCUUCUAGGUCGUAGCAGCAACAUUAGGAGGUGGUGGGAACAAAGGUUGUCUAAGACCGAAGAGAGUAAGGAGAGAGACACAAGACAUGCAGUUUGAUGGUGGCCAUAAGGUAUGCGUUUACGCUUGGUUUCUAAGCUUAACAUGAUUAUCAUCUGCAACCACAAAAAAACCAAAUUAAUAUUAAUACACACCAAGAUUCAAAAACAAUGAAAUUGAAUUUAUUUUAAUGGAUUUCAGGUUUCAAACUAAAGAAGAAGACAAUAGGAAAGAAAGAAAGAUUUUCGGUUGUAGCCAACACCACGACCACCGAUAUGAAAUUCCAUGAAUUAAAAUAAGGAAUACAAAAAAAAAACUACCAGUGUCGUCAUUCUCCUCAAACUGUAAACAUAUUUGUCGUCGUUCUCUUGCUAAAGUUUGAAACAAAAUUUGAAAUUAGUCAAUUAGGCAUAAAUAUAUGUACAAAUUGGGGAGAAAUUCAGGGAAAACGAAAUUGGAAGAGAUAAAGAUAACGAAUAUAGGUAGAAUCUGAAACGGAAGAAUAAUAUUAUCAUUGGAUAAAUUAAAAAAAAAUGAUAUUCAAAUUAGUUCAUACUAUAAAAAAAAUCAAGAAGACAGAUGCAUUUACUUUGUUACCUUUGUUUCUAGCAAGCAUCAUUGUUUCAUGAAGCUAUAGAGGGUGGACUUUAAUUAGGGCAUAAGGAAUAUACAUGUAAAGGAGGAGGAAGGCAUCCAGAGAGGGGAAGAGCAAAAGGGGUAUAUCCUGAAUGGAUCCAGAGAUGUAGGUGGUGGCGGUGAAAUGUAGGGUUUAUGGAGAACAGGAGAGCAGGGUGGUGAGAUGCAACAUAUAGGGGAAGGAGGAGAGGAUGAUCCAAGGCGUUGCCCAAUUCAAUAAGUCAGAGGUGUUAUAUAACUUUAAUCUAACAGAUUCAUUUGAUUUUGACCGAUUCAAAAAGGCUGAAAUUGUGAAUCUUGGUUUAACUUGUUGACUGAUUAACCUGAUGGGAUAAGAUCUGAUUGCAUAAACUUGUUGUGAAU
rnacentral:lncRNA from 1 species